rnacentral:rRNA from 1 species
AUUGAACGCUGGCGGCAUGCCUUACACAUGCAAGUCGAACGGCAGCACGGGUGCUUGCACCUGGUGGCGAGUGGCGAACGGGUGAGUAAUACAUCGGAACAUGUCCUGUAGUGGGGAAUAGCCCGGCGAAAGCCGGAUUAAUACCGCAUACGAUCUACGGAUGAAAGCGGGGGCCCUUCGGGCCUCGCGCUAUAGGGUUGGCCGAUGGCUGAUUAGCUAGUUGGUGGGGUAAAGGCCUACCAAGGCGACGAUCAGUAGCUGGUCUGAGAGGACGACCAGCCACACUGGGACUGAGACACGGCCCAGACUCCUACGGGAGGCAGCAGUGGGGAAUUUUGGACAAUGGGCGAAAGCCUGAUCCAGCAAUGCCGCGUGUGUGAAGAAGGCCUUCGGGUUGUAAAGCACUUUUGUCCGGAAAGAAAACCUUGGCCCUAAUACGGUCGGGGGAUGACGGUACCGGAAGAAUAAGCACCGGCUAACUACGUG